CCCACUGGUGUCUCACAAUGCUGCUUCUUAGGAAAAGCAGCUGCAAAACCCGAAGAGGGAAGAGCAUUGCUUCUACCUCCCCAUGGGCACAGAGGCCAUUGGGUUCCUGCCAAAACAGCACCUGAGGACAUCAAGGCUGUGAGCAUUUAAAAAAAUGUGAACUAAACUGAUGGCCUGAAUCCAAAGUCACUGCAGAGAGCACGGUGACCUUUUGCUGGACUUCACUGACUGUGGUAUUUCAGAGUUGUCCCACUGAGCAGUGGGAUCAGGAAAAGCAGCGAUUGCAAAUGGUGUUCUAAAACAAGCAAGCAAAAGGGCUGAACCACCCUAGACUGGAAACAAGGUUUACAAGUUGAUGAGUGAGGAUGCAGCGCUGGGAUGUCACUCAUCCAUACGGACUCCUGUCAAUGACCUUUGCAAAAAACAAAUCAAUACUAAGCAGAUACUGUAUCUACUACUUCUUACUGUGUAGGAAAGGUCAACCCAUUUUCAUGUAUGUGUCAGUUCCAACAUUACUAUUUUCAGACACAGAACUUCUUAAACCUGGGAAUUAAGAGAAAAAUCCCUAUCUUGAACAAAAGACCAUUUUAAAAUGUGUUGACUUAAAGAAAAGAUUUGGAAUGGAAACUUAUUUCAUAACCAAGGUAUGAUGCCUGUAGAAAGAAUGUAAAGAUCUAUCUUCCUAUCAUGAAAUGUUCUCUAAAAACAUAAUGCAAAUGAAAUUAUAAACAGCAUUUAUGAGACUGCUUCCUUAGCAUAAUCUGGUACCACCUGUGUGUUUUACCACAGAAAAAAAAAAAUUUUUAAAAUACUAAGCCAUUUACAGUCAUUUUGUGCAUGCCCACUGUAGUUAUUUUUGAUGAUAUGUACUGGCCACAGAGAUUAUUCUCCUCCUGCAGUUCACUCAGAUGUCAUAUUUUGAGAGAAGCUUUUAUAGAAAUACAUGUUUUGGUUCUAUAUUUUAACUUGAUCCCAUUUAGCUCAAUGCUCAAUCCUUCUAGCUUCAGCAAGAAAAUUCUGUAAUACACAUAUUGCCACAGUCUAGGAGAUGUUUGGUACCAAAAUCAUAACUGAAAUUUCUGGCCUUUUUAAAAAAUAUAUUUUUGAAUUCCCAAAGUAUGAUUCAGUUUAACCCUUCAUAGGACCUGAAAGUUUAAGGAUAAACAUCAAAACUCUAUUACAACACUGUCUUUAAAUGAAAAAGUAUCCUGUUGUGUAUUUUAAACAUACCACAAAUGUCAAACAAUUUCAGUCUGGUUCUGGUUAGAAGAUACUGCUGCACUAUUUGACAUUGCAAGCGCAAGAUCCACAAGGACAAUGUUUUAAAAUAUUCAGAAAUCUAAUAUUUUAAAAUGCUUUCAUAUGGGUAAAGGGUUAUUUAAUACUCAGUGUAAUGAAUUUCUGAGUUACAUUAACUGCAGCAUCAUAAGGAGAUACAGUACUCCUGCUUUCUAGCUGUGUGGAAGUGGAGCAAUGGCAGUGCCAUACAUCCAUAAGCAAAGUAAUAAAAAAGAAUCUAUAC